AUAGAAAACUCCAAUGAAGCAUCUUCUGGAGAUGACCUCACGUAUAACUCAUAGGAUGAAGUGAUGAAGAUAUGCUUGCCUGCACACAAGAAGGAGUACAUUCAGCAUCAUGAAGAGCAUUACCAGCAAUAUGAAGACUUAGUAAAGAAACCGACAUCCAACAGACAUGAAGAAUUCAGAUCCUGAAUUUGAUAUUUUCAGUGGAUGAUCUUGUAUCAAAAUGUUGUACAGAGCACUUUGUGUACAUGAGUAUGGAUUGGGCUCCUCCCUAAGAAGCAGUACAGAUGAAUGUGAGCAUGAGAACUACCAAGGCGUUUUUCAGUUGCCACA
rnacentral:lncRNA from 1 species